rnacentral:ncRNA from 1 species
UAUCUUUGCAGCUUGAAUACGAAAAACGUAUCAAUACAUAAAAAUCAUUUACAACAAUAUUAGCAUG